CAAUAGCGUAUAUUAAAGUUGUUGCAGUUAAAAGCUCGUAGUCGCAUUUCUGGCGAGAGGAAUUGGUCCGACAUUUAUUGUGGGUACUCGAUUCUCUCUCGCCAUCCUUGAGUGGUCCGUUCUGGCAUUUAGUUGUCGGAGCGUCAGCCGCUCAUCGUUUACUGUGAGAAAAUUAGAGUGUUCAAAGCAGGCUUAUGCCGUUGAAUAUAUUAGCAUGGAAUAAUAAGAUAGGACCUCGGUGCUAUUUUGUUGGUUUGCGCACAGAGGUAAUGAUGAACAGGGACAGUUGGGGGUGAUUUGUUAUUUCGUUGUUCAGAGGUGAAAUUCUUAGGAUUUAACUGAAAUGACAAACUU
rnacentral:rRNA from 1 species